GUGAAAGUCAAAAGCAUUGGUGCUACUGUAGAUGCCAACAGACUACCAGCAAACACAAUGUUUGCAGGACUUCUACAACGAGGAUAAAGUGACAUAGUCCAGGACCCGAGGGAGGACAGUUUAGCGAUGGCGCUACAACACGCUACAGCAGGUCCGUUUGACAAGAAACACUUCUGUUACAGACACUUGUCUUACUUUGUUAAAGCGGUUUACCUGUCCAGCAGAAAGGUUACAGGGUCACCAAGAUCCUGAAGCGUCCCCCAUCAUUGUUGACCCGGCUUCUUAGCUCUUGUCCGGGUGAUUUACCUCAGUUUUAAGCGCCCGUUAUUCCACCAGUCUCCUGUAUUUACUUUGUUUUCUUACUUGUAUCGGCAGUCGUGGCUAAAGGAGGAUUCAGACAAUUUCCCGAACUUUCUGGUUGGUUUCUACUGUCCGAUAUUGUAGCACGCUAACUUUGUUUGGGCUCCUGAACGACACGGGGGAGCAGCGUCUGCCUCACAACCAAUCAGGUUGGGGAGGCGGAGAACGGCUUUGUUAACAGUCAGAAAGAGUUCUGACUCUUCGUUAUAUUACCAAAUGUCAUCAAUGACUAAUAGCUAUUGACUGAUAUUAAAACCUUUGUCGUAUAUAAACCACAAAAAAAGAUGCUUCUUUAACGGGUUCCUGCCGACCCCACCUUUAAAUCCCCGUCAAAUAGCCAGAGCAAAGUCUAGAAGCAGGUCUGUGAUCUUCUCACUCCAAAAAGUUGUCUCCCCAUUUUUGAGGAGUUUCUGCUCUGAGCUCCUCUCUUAUUAAACUCACAGGCCAACAGGUCAGCUUUAUUUUGACAUACCUGAGGCAUUUUAAAUCAGUGUUAUUGUUUACACUGUCAGUCGUCAAAAUCCUGCUAAAUAUGAUCUUCACUUUGACGUAUGACUGAGACAAUAACAAUGUACAUAAAGGAUUUUCAACAUCAUUGUAUUGUGGAGAUUGUAGCGUCACGGACUGUCAGCUUUUGGCAGAAUUUGACAGUGAAAAUAUGAUUUUUCAGCCCUCCAUUUGUCAUGAGAGGCUUGCUGUUGCUUGGUUAGCAGAUGAGGAAUCGCAGCGCUCUUAAAAAAAGACUUUAGACAGCUGGAGACGAGCUCUUUUGAGAGAAAUUGCAUAUCCGUCUCUUCACUCUUUUCAUUAUCUAACAUCAUGAGGACGCGAGAGCACCCAGGGGAGAGCAGCAGCAGAUACAGCGGCGAGUAUCAAUAAUUCAUGUGUUCAUAUAUUGGACAAAUACGGGCUCACUAUUGUCAGGCAGUUAGAUAUAAUGUCGCUGAAAUGGAGAGGAAAGAGCCAGGAGCGCUCGCAAAUGGCCCGGUGAUCGUUACUCAGCGGUGGUUAAUUGUGCUAAUUCUGGAAAAGGCUAAGAUAUGCCUCCGCAGACCGAUGAAAUUAAUGUGAGGAGGAAGGGGGCCUCUGUUGUUUAAGAAAUUAAUUACAAACGUUUAAUGAAAAGGAAACGUUCCCAUUUGCAUUCUCAUGGCUUGAAUGUCCAAUGAAUCCCGUACUGAUGCAGAUUGACAGCACUUCUUUUUUUCCCCCCUUCUACUUCAAGCACACGCUAAUGAAAAUUGCCUUUUAACUGACAUAUUUAGCCGACCAUAAUAAUGCCUCAAAAAUGUCAUUUCCAUUUAUUUUGGACGCUGUUUUUAAUUACACUCUCUUACACCUAGUAGCAGUGAGGACAGGGUGUUUAACAGGGUCUUAAACCUGCUUUGAAAAAGACCGUGACCCUAAGAAACUCAUUUUUUGGCUUUUAUAUUUACGAUGAAGAAUCCCGACGCCAGAAUUUAUUAUUGUAUGAAAAUAGGCCUAGAAUAUAAGUAAGGAAUUGGCAAAUUAAUUGCUCUAAUUUACACAAAGCGAAGUGAAAUUUGGCAAAAGCUGUUUGUGGACCACGCAUACCGUAUUUUUCGCACUAUAAGGUGCACUUAAAAUCCUUUUGGCUUGUCGGAGAACUGCAGCUACCGUCGCCUCGCGGAGUUAUUGAAUGAGUUAAAGAAAAUUUGACUUAUCUGACUGAUUUGUUUGGCUUGAUGCGAUUUAUAAUGCGGUGCACCUAAUGUAUGAAAAAAACGCGAAUAAACGCGUUCAUUGAUGGUGCGCCUUAUAAUCAGGUGCGCCUUAUAGUGCGAAAAAUACGGUAUUUAUAAUUUAAUCACAUUUACAUUUAAAAGAGAUGGGAAAAAAACGUUUUUUUUGCGAAUAAAAAAAAAUAAAUACUUCUACUAAUAAUAAUAAUAAUGAUAAAAAAAAUGCAUUUUUUUUUUUUUAUUAUAGAAUCUUCUUGUGUCACUUCUAACUGACCACUGACAAGGAAAAAAACAAAAAACUAACAACCAGUGUCUUUAUUGUGAGAUUGCACAAGGGUGGCCAUCAGAGUUUAAGGGGCCAGGCCACCCCCUGCCACUCAUCUGGACACACCCCUGCUUCUUGCAUCACUUUGUUUAUUUUAUAACGCUUUUUUAAAUUACAUCACCUGUGCUGGACUUUCUUUGCUUGAAGUCACACACAGGUGAGUAUAGAGGCAUUUACUGCUUAUGGACCAAUCAGCUUUUGCCCUUUUUGUUCCAUCAGGGUACAAAAGCUUAGCGGUGAUUUGUCUUAAACGGACAAACUACUUAAACCUGGAGGAGAAAAGAAGUUAUUGGAGUGAUUUGUUUGGAUUUUAAAGCCACAGUUUGCAGUUGAUUUCAUAAGAGAUACUGGGAUGAUGUUUUCUCUGCACUGGAAGUCUAGUUGUUCAAUCAUUGAGGAGACAUUUUUCUCGUUUAUUUGACUAAAUUUACAUAAUCUAAAACCAAAUGUCAGUGAAAGACAUCCAGUUUUGAGUUAAAAAAAAGGAGUUACUGAAAAUCUUCUCUGAAUAAAUAGAAACUUUUCAACACUGAUGGGCAAAGUUUCCACAUUUUCGUCUGAGUGUGAUAAACUUUAAAUGAAAAUCAUUGCUCAAAGUUUAGAUUUCUAAACUGGAGAGUGAUUAAUAGGGAAAGCUGUAAUAGCAGUGUUUUCCCUCCCUCUGGCCACUCGGCUGUUUUGUAAGGAGAGAUAGCAGAAUUAGAGAGUAGUCUAUCUGGAGUCUGGCUUCCUCUGGGCCGUGUCUGUUUCAGUGCGACUGCCUUAAGGCCUGGUUCAAAGGCUGAGCAAAGAUAAAAGCCUCGGGAGGAGUGGCGGGGAAAGAGAUGAUGUUGUUUGUCAUUGCUUGUUAAAAACAAACAGUUGAAGAUCAUUGAAGGUUUCCAGCUUUCAACACUUAGACCCCAGGCCUCGAACAAAACAACCGAGGGAGUGAGGCACUCGUAAUCAAAAUGGGAGUCCUCUCACAACCUCAUCUAGUUUCCCUCUCACAAGUGACUGAUGUUCGGUCUGCGGACGUAUUCGGCAAUCAGUUACAAGGUAUCCUUGGGGUAUUGCGCCAUCAUGUUGGGGUCAAAACAGUUCGCAAAACAACAUCUUCAUAAAUUUGUGGCCUUAUUGCAGUGUCUUGGCCGCUCUGAGUUGGUUUUUUAUCUUCAGGCGGGCUGCCCCCCUGGGUUCAAAAAGAAGUGGGCAUGUCAGGUCGCUGCAGGGAGGGGCAUUACUGAACAAUGGCACCAACAUGGCAGUGAGGAGUGAGGCUGGAGGAGCUUUGUCGGGCUGUUUAUAGCAGGGGGUGAUGAUUUUUAUACAGCAAUUAUGACGAUUAUAACACUUCAGGAUUUAAUAAAUGUACACUUUAAUAAAUGUCCUUCACAGACUAAAAUCAGUACUGAUAAACACAAAUAUAAUACUGUUAGUUAAUAGAUAUGCUUAGAUGCAAACUGUAAAUAAACUUGAUUUAUGUGUUUCUGUAAAGGUCCUUACACACCGGGAAAAACGCAAAUAUACGACGUGAAAUUACAAAAUAUUCUGACUAUACACAUCAAGUGCGAUGGGAUUUAGCGACUUUCCGGGGGUAAAAAAGACGCGUCCCGGGUGGAAGCGAGAAGACUGACACAACAGCAGACUGAGUAUUUUUCAGUUCUGAUUAGACUCUAGUGUUGAGAUGUCUGUCUGUCAUGAUAGCAUGUACUGAGUCGGGGUCAGAACCAGAUAAGAACAUUAAACUAUAAUCUAUAAACGUAAGGUAACAACGAGACCGAAUGGUGCUGUGACAGUGAAAAUACAUAUGGUAUGUUGUAUCUGAACAGGUUAGCUUACGAGCUAAAGUUACUUAGCACAGAUGAAAGUUAAAACAAAGACGUUUAUCAAACUGUUAAAGCACACAAACCAUCGUCAUAUGAGAAAUCCGACGCUAUGACUCUCCACAAGUUGUCCUUCAGGUCGUUAUCUUUGUAAUAUUUGUGUUUUUUAUCAAAAAUCACUCUGUUCUCCGACACGUAAACAAUCAGCCGGUCGGCCAUGUUGGAUAUACCAACACGAAAUCUGAUUGGUCAGAAGUGGACACACAGUAUGCAAAAAUUAAGAAAAUUCAACCCUGAUAAGAAAAAAUAAAUGCCGCAAUAUCACGGGAUGGGAAAACGUUGCUGAUGUGAACGCUUGAAUUGACAGGAUACGAGUUCGGAAAAAAUAUUGACGUCUGAAAUAAUCGCACAAAAAAACGCUCCCGGUGUGAAAGGACCUUAAGUCAGUGCCUGAGCUGGGCCCCCUCAGUCAAAAAUAUCUGGACACACCCCUGUCCGGAUCACAAAUUUGACUCUCCUUUUUUUUUCCCAUUUUUGAACUUUUAUGUUAAGCUAAGCUAGACGUUAUCUGAUGUUAGCUUCACAUUCUGACAGGAGAUUGUUAAAACGGGCUAAAGUCCUUCAGGUUUGAUGACUGCAAAGGAAGCCAAGCUAAAAAUGAACCAUGUAAAGGACAUAUUUUUACUCAAUUUAGAGGGUGAAUUGCUCCGUCAUUGUUGAAGGAAAUUGGAUUCAAUUUACCCCUUCUUUUACUAUGAAAUUGAAAAAUCAGUCCACAUCUUUUUUUUUCCAUCAGCGAGAAUGUGAUUAUUUCCUGUACUUGUGUUUCACGAGUGUAUCCCCAUGCCUCGUGUGUGUGUGUGUGUGAUGUGCAGAGAGGAUAGAUAAAUCUCCUCACUUUCUUUUAAAAAUCACCAGCCUGACCAGCGAGUACUUGAAACUCCCUGAACUUUAAAGGCUUCCAAGUAUUUCCUCACAGGCUUUGUUCUGUUGAUGGACGACUUUAAUACCCUUCUGUUGAUGAUUAUUUAGACCUUUUUUUCUCAGAACCAGAGCAGGUCUCUCUUGAGUUUGGGGAGAGAAGCCUCCCUGAGUUUUCCUGUGGCACCUGGCCUACUUCUUACCAUGCAAAACAGCAACGAGAACUUGUACAGCACAUUCAGAGGGUGUAUUUGCAGUUGUAGUAUUCCAUUAUAAACACUGAAAAAAACAACAACUUCCUAAUAGGCAAAUUGAUCCGCUUGUGUUUGUUUGAUCAGAAAAUAUUGAUAAAAAACUCUUUACAUGUACAGAAAAAAAGGGAAGUAAGGCUAGCUUGGCUGACUGGGUAUCCCUUUCCCAAGAAUCAGGUUCAAUCAGAACUGCUAAAGAUAGAUUUUGGGGUUCCCCAGGGUGCCGUGUUGGGACCACUGUUGUUUAUUUUGUACAUUAGCAAUAGUUGUAUAUUUGUAGUCGUAUAUUAAUGCUCUUGUGAUCUUCUGAUCCCGUCUUUUACUGUUUAUUAAAUUACUGUUUUUAUUAAAAUACGUCUUUUUUUUCCUUUAAAUGUUUCUUUCUCAUCAUUGCCUCUUUUUACUGUUCUUUAAUGCUUUUAUUUUUUUAAUUUUUCCCUUUUUAUUUACUAUAAAUCAAGAUUAUUUCUCCUCUGCUUUUAUUCUGCUUCAGACGUUUAUUCUGCUUUAUGUGUCAAAGACGUUAGUUAAAUUUUGGCGUCAAAGGUGGUUGUUAAAGCUCCUGUGAGGAAUUUUUGAUGUUUAUAAAACGGACUAAAAUUCAAAUCAGUGUUUAUUUAUGAUGUACAAAAGUAAACAAAAUCAUUAGCGGCUGGACUGAUUAUUUUUGUAUUAUAUAUUUUAAUACCUAGAACAACCACAAGGGGUAGUCAUUAGCCGAUCAGUUGAAGACACUGCCUUGUUUUUAUAAUUUCUGCAAAAUUUAUAUUUGAUCAACAAAAUACAGCAGUAAGAGGUAUUUUGUGAAAGGACAAGAUAAACAAAGACAGGGGGCACCAUAGUUUACACAGAAUCAAAGUUCCUCACAGGAGCUUUAAGUAGAAAUAUUUUUUUUAUUAGAAAUAAGUUUUUCCUUCACAUUUUCGAUUUCCUGCAAAAACCAAAAGUAAGGUGUAAAAUAAAUGAAAAAAAAUCUCAGCUGUGCUCUGUCUCCGUGACCUUUAAGACAUGCAGUGCACUCAAUAACUUCAGUUUGUCUUAGUAGGGUGGUAAUAAGCAGCCUCCUGAGCGUUGUGCUUGUGUUUACGCUGAUGGAUGAGACAGGUCGCUUCUUUAUGUAGAGCAGUUCAACAUUUCUCCCCCUCACAACUCUAUUAUUUUGGAUCGACAGGGCUUAGCAAACCUGGAGAGGUGUAUUUUAAAAAGCAGGAAAAUGAAAUCGCAUGUAUAAUAAAGCCUUUCCUGCCCUGCGGUCUAAUAAAGAUCUAUGUGUUACUCUGGUGUGUGCUGCAGCAAGAGUACAAUGGAUUUGUUUGCGGUGCAGGUUCAGAGCGAAUGCAUCAGCUCCUCGUGACUUUCCCAACUUCCUUCCUCCCUCUUUGUGAUAUUUACACUCCAGACACACACUGAAAAUUAAUGAGAAAACAUCUUAAUGGAGCUGCUGAGGGCUUCAUAAGCAGCUCUGACGAUGUUCGCCUACACAGGGCUAUUUGGAGAUUGAAAUCUAAUUCACACACUACCUUAAUCUAAUUCAAACACCACUACAAAGAUUCCUAUAAUUAUGACUGGCACUUAAUUAUAGAUGCUGCACGCAGUGAGAAAUUCUCAGGGAAAUAAAAAGUUGUCUGGCAUGUAAAUCAGGCCCCAUCUGAGCUGAGAAAAGGAUUGUAUAAAUAAUUUCCUCUUAACAGCGAUAAAAGGUCUUAUGUCUGAUUUGAAAGGAAAAUAGAUCCGGGCUGAUUGUAGAGGCUGUCACAUUAGCAUCAUGCCUCAGUAGAUGUGCUGUUCCUGAGACAGAGGGAGCGGGAUAAAAGGUGAGAUGCCUGUACGAGCUCUCCAGCUGGUUGUCAGUCGUGAACGCUGUCGACUUUUUUCCGCCGACAGUAUCAUCCACUUCACACCACUGCUGCCGUGUUUUCUUAUCUGCUUAAAAUUCUGUAUCAUCUGAAGCCUUCCCCACUCUCGGUGAUACUGCUGCACUUCAAGAAAAAUGUACUGGGGGAACAGCACAGGUGAUGAAUUGCAAUUUCUGUAGUGUUACUCCUCUUUUACAUACAUUUUCAAUCCCGUUCAGUGCUGUAUAACGUUGGUUUCUGUUCAUUUUUUGUGAGUACAAGGCCUAAUUUAACACUUUCGGACACUUGCGCCUUUUUUCCCCCCGGAAGGUCGCAAAAUCGCAUAGCGCUUGAUGUGUAUAGUCAGUCGUGUCAAAACUCUCCUCGGAAUAUUUCAUAAUUUCGCGUUGUAUAUUUGCAUCGUUCCCGUACUGUAAGGACCUUUAGACUGAGGAAGUGUCUGAAGUUUCUGACAACAAACGUGGACACUAUUGUUAAAAAAGAUAAAAAGGCUUAAAAGGCUAAAUUUUGUUCGACGAAUCGCUUUGCUAGUUGACUCCUCACAUUUGGUACUACCUCGAAGCUAAAUUCGGGUGACACAGUUUUAACCUGAGUAAUAUUUCUUUAUAGGCUCAUAGGCUGUAUCAAGUGUCAAUCAUAGAAAACAUGAACCCCCUAAUAACUUUUAAAAAUGGAGCUGUACAGAAAAAAGAGCACUUGAGCACAAACCAGUCUGACAGUAACUACAUGUCAACAUCACAAGCAGGGGGGAGAAAAAUUUAUGUUCCACAGCUCCAUAAGCUUUGCUGGUGGAGGCGGGAUUUAUGACCUAUACUGCAGCCUGUCACCAGAGGGGGCUGUUCUCCGAUUGGCCUCACCCAGCAAGGAGGCAGAUGGCGUCCAUUCUCUACACAGUCUAUGGUCCUGAAUAUCCUUCCUUAUUAUGUUUUGCUGAUCUGGCUAAUUCUGUUGGCUACACUGCUCAAUACUCCCCCUGUGGUUACCAGCGGUACUGCAGGCUUCAAGAGAAUAGAAAAUGAACAAAGAGUCCAAUCCAUAUUUGCCUUCACCUAGUUAGGUGCUUUCUUGCUAGCCAAUAGUGAACAUUUUGCGUUAUCGCCUACAACUUUCACAUAAUUCAGUUCAGUCCUCACGUUUUGAAUCAAAAUUAGUCACAUUUUUUUCUUUAAACUUUCACCACUUUAACUUUCCCGCCAACUGUUCUGACCUUUCGUUUAAUGCCUCUAUUCAUUCAUUAGCCUUGUCAUGACUCCAGUUAGACAGUUCGUGAAAAUGCACCAACCCACGUUUUCAUGUUAGUGAUAACACCCACACUUUUCCUACAACAUGUCAAAACAUCUGUAUUAAAAGGUCUUCAGAGGGCAACUCCACACUGAAGUGAUAAAGACCACUUACUAACCUGACAAGUCGUCAAAACAUGGAAAUCAAGGGCAGUAAUCACAAACCCAUACUGAAAAACAUGCUUUAAAUAUCUGGAAACGUACCCAUAGGGACGUAUUUCAGCUGUGAGCCAUCAUGUGAGUAAAAACCAUUACAGCACCUGUCAUGGUGGGAUUUUAUAGAUGCCCUUGCAGACAUGGAUUUUUUCUUUCUCUCCCUCUGUUCGCCAGAUGCACUAAAAUUGUGACAACAAAUGAAACUCUGCAGGACACACCGGCGUUUAUAGACCGCUGAAGCCCCGGUAGAGACGAAUUCAGAGCAACUGGGGUGACGUAGGAGACUUUUUGUUCUGAACAAAUCACUUUCAUGUGUCAAAGCCCUUUUUUUUUUAAUGGCAAACCCAUUAAAACACCAUAGCGGCUCAGCCACCGCGGAUACCUUGUGGGGUAAUUGCAUGCAAACAUUUUUAAACUGCAGACAAGGCACGGCCUAGACCUGCGUGAUUCUUUGCGUGUCGACUGUGUCUACAGUGAAGAGAGAUGAAUGGAGAGACCUUCGUUUAAAACAGUCUGUGGCCUUCUCCUCUGAAUGUGUUGUCGUACAUGAUUUCUCUCACCGCUCUCUGUCUCUCUUAUAAAAGCCAUCUCACUUUUAUAUUCCCUCUUCUCCCCACGCCUUUACUCAAUUUUCACAUCCCGUUUGGUAUUUUUGUCUGACCUUGCGGCAUUACGGCGGCCGUUGCGUUAAAAAAAAAAUGGAGUAAUUGAUGAGAACAUCCCCCUGACUCCAGUCCUUUCAACAGGUUCAGAUCAAAGUAUUUCACUUUAUCAUUAAAAAGAGGAAUAUUUGGACACUUUUUAUUAGGCGUGAAAGAUAAAUGGGCGAAAAUGAUCCGGGUAUGACUCAUCAGAGUUCCUGUUUAAACCCCGUUUAAAGGACAGGAAUAGGAUGAUCGUACUUUGGCUCAUUACCAGCUGCACAGAGCGUCCUCUUUUUUGUCUCCUCACUGUAAAACAGAUUCCAGUCCUUGCUCGAAAGGCGUAAUCCACGACUAAUGAUGACACUCUGAGGGAGUGGGAGAGGGUAAGCAAUGGAAAGCAGUGUCAUCCUUUGAUAUAGCUCAUCUGUAAAAACUGUAAAUAAUUUAGACUGUUAUAAUACCUUUUAUUUUUAAUGAAUUGGGCUAAAGUUGUGAAUUUGAGGUUUCAAAUAGCUGUAAAGCAAAAAGCCGCCUCGCAACUAAAACCAUGUCCAUGUGUCUAAACUAGGGGUUUAGCAAAGAGUGUAAUAAAUUAUUUCAAAUCUAUAAUACUGUCAAGAUAAUCUCAGGACAAAACUGUUUAAUGUUUCAUUAAAUGUCGCAAAUCAAAUAAUAGCAAACAUUCCCUCUGUCUACAUUACUAUCUCUGAGCUUUAAGGGCCUGUGUCCACUGACCGUGUUUUUGCAGCAUCAAAACCCAAAUGAAGAACUCUUACAAAAUUGUGAAUAAAGUCAACACCACUGAUCUUGCUCUUUACUGAUUUUUGUAACACUGUUAGUUAAAAUAAUCCAACAACAAAAGUAAUUGCUUUCUUAGCCCACAGUACUAUCUUUGAGCCUUAAGGGCCUGUGUCCACUUGCAUUUCUGCUGCAUCAAAACCCGCUGGGCUCCUGUUAAGAGUACUCGCUGGUCUAAGUUUGUGAUUUGGUUGCUGUGAGAAAAAUGACAUUGAUGAGGAUUAAUUUGAUCAAAAAGUUGAUAUAUUUUUAUGUGUGAGGACAGUAACAGAAAACAGCAAAUGAUUCUGACAUUUAUGAAGUAUAGCGUAGAAAACCGAUGUCACUAGCACAUCAACGCAGUUAGUGAACACAGGCCCUAAUUCUUGAGAACUCAGUUUGCUUUAAUAUGCUUAUCACUUUUAUUGCUUAACUUCAUUAGUAUGGAGUAGAAUAUCUGUCUUGGAGGCACAGAAGAAGAGUAAGUGGACACAGGCCCUUACUUUGGUGAACUGAGAAAAAGAUCAAUUUUGAGGACAGUUUUGCUUAUAUAUCUUUCGCCGUGACUGAUUAACUCAACUUGCUUUCUUAGCCCACAGUACUAUCUUUGAGCCCUCUUUAAUAGAAAUGUUUCUUUAGUUUCCUAGCAACUGUGCAUUGUUCCUAUAAAUGUGGGGGGUUAUUCACUCAUUUAUUUCUUAAUUUAUUCCUUUCCUACCCUGGCAGGAGCGUCUGGAACACCUUGUUCUACAUAAACACCCUUUUUUGUAACCGACUCAAGGUGUGAUGCAUUUUAUCCAGUGAAGACUCUGUGGAUUACAGUUUGAGCGACUUUCUGUUUGAACUUUUGGCACCGGAGGAAACUAAUUACAGAGUUAUUGGCGAUUUGGCUGAAAGCUGCAGUGGAUCCAAGCCCUAUUUACUGUUAGAUGUAGUAUUUCCAGUAAGGUAUACGCUGUGUGAUGUGUGGUCGGGAAACCAAGCCUGUGUAAUAAAUCAAAAUUCAUUAAAACAUCACAGCGUUGUUUGGGGUUUUUUUUUUCUGGGUAAAGCUCAAAUCCAGCAGGUCAGAUCUCAAACCUCCAAACGAGUGAUUAAACCCGGCAGUAAACAGGAAACUCUUUGUAUGCAGAGUUGGCAACAGACCCAUACAAAUACAACGUUUAAAGAUAACUGCAGUGAUAAGGAGUGAUGUCCUAUGAUGUGCUGGGAUAAACACGGUGUUUAAAUUGAUUGAAGCUGUUACAAAGACUGAGUUAUAAUGAGCAAUUAAUAUUCAAUGAGUAAAUGAGGCAUGCAAGGGAAAUUAUAAAGAAGAAAGAGGAAGAGAGAUGCACUCGAAUCACACCCAGGUCUUCAGAUUUACCUUUGUACUUCAUAAAAUUGAAAAUUACACUGUAAAAACACACAACUGAGCGCAAUUAUGUGGCAAGUCUAGAAAAACAUUGUACGUCAGGGCGUGUAUCACAUAGCUGUGACUUAUAUUAAAUCUGGUAAUCACUCGCUAAGAUGUAACUUUUUACAGUGUACUCCAAGUAGAUGUGGAAAACAGGUAAAAGUUAUCAACCUCGCCUGCUCUUUGGUCAUUUUUCUGACAGAUUUCAAAGACUGACACUUUAAAUUUUGCAUCAAAUCCCCAAAAUAUGUCAAAGCAAAACUGUUUUUGUCACCCUUUGUUUUGUAGACUCCUGAUUUGUCGAGUCAAUCAGCUCUGAAAGCAGCACAACUUCACAGCCGUAGCAAAGUACAAGCUGAUUUUGAAUGACAUAGCCCGAGGGAUGGCGUAGUCAGUCUGUCAUCGGUAUGUCAAUUCUUUUCAGAAUAAACCCUCAUCUGUUUUUAUGUUAGAUCCUCUGAAUUUGACUUUUGUUUUGUAAGUCACUGCUGUCAGGCUGAAACCUUGUAUUUUUACAAAACCGCUACUCUACAGGAAGUAAAAAAAACAGAACAGAAUAGAACAAUACAUGCGAUUUAACCACUUUAGAGAGCCGACUAUGUCAAAACAUUCAGGGCACCCCACUGGUGAUCAUAGGUCUCGAUCAUAGACCGUAUGGACAACUUGGUUCCGCCUUCCGCCAGUUUAUGGAUUUGAAGCCGAAAAGCUCUUGGUAAUUCCACGAUUUUUCUCCAUUUCCUAAAACCAACAUUGCACAUUAGUAUUGUACGAAUUCGUCAGGAGAGUCGCUGUGAUGACGCUCGGCUCAAACAGCGUAUCCCCCGGGUGAGCCACGCAAUCUUCGUUCGCCUAUCUGCUAUAUCAGGUGUCAAUCAUAGAAAAAAUUAACCCUCUAAUAACUUUUAAAAACGGAAAAAUUUCUAAUGUUUGUCCACAGCUCCAUAAGCUUUACUGGAGGAGGCGGGAUUUAUGACCUAUACUGCAGCCUGUCAACAGAGGGUGCUGUUCUCGGAGUGACUUCACCCAGCGAGGAGGCAGACACUGUCCAUUCUUUAUACAGUCUAUGGUCUCGAUUCCUGCUUCUCCAUGUAAACAGAUGGGACAUGGGUCAAACUUUAAAAUUAGAAUACAAAGAAAAUAUUUUUUCUUCAAACAUGCUUUUUGUCAUUAUAGUAACUUAUCAUGCAGAUUUGUUUCCAGGUGCUCAUUUCUGUGUAGAGUUGGCUGCUUUAUACGUCAUAUGGCCUUCUCCAUGUAAACAGAUGGGACCUAGCUUAAACUUUAAAGCUCCUGUGUCGAGUUUUUGACAUGAAAUCGACUCAAAUUUAAAUUAAAACAUGCAGAACAGGAACCAACAGGAUUGACAGUGUUUAUUGCCAUUUUUAAUGUCAGAGGAAGCACCAAAUUGAUGCAAACCUAAAAUUCCUUACAUGACCUUUAAAAUUUGAAUAUACAGAUUUUUUUUCCUUUACUAAAAUAAGUUCUUUACUUGUGUUUGGAAGAGCUAAUUUUUACUAUCUUCCUCAUUCUUUUUAGGGCCCAUAUCUACCUGCAUCAACUUGUGUGUCUUUCCUACUAUCACGGUGCAACAUGGCUGCUAAUGAGCCUGAAAAAAGGAGCCCAUUCAUAAAAACAGGAAAAUAAAUGUGGAUUCAUGUCUGAUUAGGCCCCGACGCCUGCGUUUUGUAUUUUACAUGGCACUAUCUUUGUUCAGCUCGCGCUGUAUUUGUUAAUUGCGCCGCGUAGUUUGGUCUGUGAAAGAGCUGCAGAGGAAAACGGAGGGAAAAAAGAGUGGAAGUAUAAUCACCAUCUGUUGUCAAGGUCAUUUGCCACACUAUAAACACAUCCAUCACCAGCAGAAAACACUCACAGUUAACUGGAAAUGGAGUCGUUAGUCUUGGUGACAUUUCACAUUCAAUAUUUGGGAUGUUUGUGCGGUAGAACAGAGCAGUAAAGAGCAGAUAUAAUCAUCAGAGCAGAUAUAAUCACCUAUGUGAUCUUUUAUUCAUUAUAGGAUCGCUGCAGAAGUUUCCUUUCAGAUUGCAAAAAUAGAGUUUUGAACACAAGUCAGUCUUUGUUCUCAGGUAAAGUCAGGGUCUACUCCGGCUGCCUUGCUUGACAUUCUCGCUAUAACCUCUUUCAGAAUCAUCUCGCCAGUCAGGAAAGCUCCCACAAAGGGCAAACCCUCCACAUCCUGUCAGCCGUGCAUCCACUAUUUCAGCUUUGUUUCAUCUCAAAUGCCAAAGCAGCACUGCAUCUCCGUCUUGGCAGGGAAUCGCAGGUUAUUUAGCGGUGAAAUGUACCGCAAGACUUUGAACCCAUCGCCUGUGAUCAAACUUUUAUUUCCUGCAUUUGAUUCAUAAAGCUUCACACCACAUUUUAUUGAACGUAAACCGAGAGGCGCACCACCUCCUGCUUGUUUCAUUAAGCAGACUGUGGUAACCUGCCAUCCGGCCUGAAUUAGAGGCUUUCUUGGCAGAGGGAGUCAAAACAAAUUCAAUUCCAGCCUGUGUAACGUUAAUUAAGCAUGAUGGACCUGCCCGCGCUCUUUAUCAUAAUUGUCCUUCUUUGGUCUUCGUGUCAUGUUCAUCCCUCUGCCCACACACCGGAGAAGCUUUUCACCUCACCGAUGCUUUCCUCCUGUUUUUGUGCUCGGGUGUUUUGUCGUUAAGAGGCGUCAAGUAGAAACUCUAAGCUAUUAAUGUUAGAAUCAGCCGCCAUCUACCUGCAAAAGUGCACUUCAGAUUGACUCUUCUUUCACUUUUAUAUCCAAGUGCUUCUUAAGUUGUAUUCACACCAGAGAUGUUUGAUCCAUUUAAAACAAAGCGGGGUGCAUUUCCUCGGAUAGUUUGAUAUAUUUGGUAAAAAGCUCUUUUAAACUCUGGUCCAUAGGAGACUGACCCACUACACAUCAUGAGGGCUGGCCUUUAAUAAAGCCCACGCAGGGAUUCAGACUGCUACACAGCAAACCAGUAACUUGGUCUGGUCCACAGGAUGGUCCAGGUCUCUUUAAAGUGGCUGUUGGCUAUUCAUGGAUGGGGCCUUAUUUUAAUUGCUGACUAGCGGGAGGAUUUAUUAUUGAUUGGUGUCAAAUUCAUGUUCAUGAGUCCAGCGUUGGUUUUUAUGUGCAAAUGUGAAGUUUCAUGAAUAAGACCAAAAACUUUUAAAGCUCCUACAGGGCUUGACACUCACUUUUUUCACAAGGAAGUUGAAAAAGUAAGAAGCACACAAAUAACUUUAGGGGCACAAUAAAAAUUGAUCAAAUAAUGUGUGUCCUAUUGGUCGAUAUAAGUACUAUUACUUAUUACUACUAUUUGAAAUCAAUUUUAGGUUAAUUGGUCUCAUGACAUGGAAGCUAUUGAAGGAAAACAGCUUUUUUCUGAGAACAUCAACUGAUAACUUAUUGACGGUCCCUUAUUCAAUACCUGACUUUGACAGCGAGGAUGCUGAGUAGAUUUAACCCGCGUUAUGGAGAGUGAGAAGUCACCGGUAGAUUGGCGGAGCAUGUCCGUCGAAUAUCCAACCUAAAACCAACUUCGUCGUGGUUCGCACACAUCUAUUUUGAGUCGCAAAUUCGAGUGAAACGGUCGCACUGUCGAGCACCUUCUUAUGUGAAUCAUUUGACUUUAGAUUCUGGCGUUUACACGGCAGUCUUGUGUCUUUGAUUCAUUCAUUCAGGAUCUUUGUUUUGUGAGUAAAAGCUGUGUCAGAAGCAGGGGGUUUAUCACUUAGUGCGCCACCUACCCCCCACUGAAGGUUCCAGGCAUUAAACAUUUCAAAAUAAGAGUCUUCAAAUGUCAUGUGGUGGUCUUUUUUUGCCUUUUUAGGUCAUUAAAAGACAUCACUAAUAGUCUAUCUAGAUUUAUGACCAGCUAAAAACUCCUCACAAAACUAUUAGAUGUUGCUUCUUAUUUCUUUGUCGUGUUAGCAUAUAACAGCAGCUCGGUUUGACAGUUACAGCAUAUAGAGGAUAGUUUGACCUGCGUUCUGGUGCAUAUGGAGCUCAGCGCCGUGAUACCGCUGUGAAAGCGGCCGAGCGGAGCGUCCUUUAAUGUGCCCGCAUCAACUGAACAUUAACAAUGCAGACACACAGGGUGAGUGAGAGGACAGUGCUGGAUGGCAGAUCCAUUUCCUGACUGACCAGCGUCUCACAUCCAGGGGCAGCCGGGGUUCAUCAUUGUGGGAUUUAAGCCCGAGUGUGCGGUGACAGCUUGAUAAUGCCGGCCUGAUUCUAACACCAAGCUGUGCUCCUCUGGAUUUAGUAAAGAGCGCUAAGGGCGGACAGUCUUAAUGACACGCACAUACUCAAUGACUUUCUCUUCCUAACUGUGAAAGCCGCUUAUUUUAUUUGAUCAUCGCCUCCGAAGAUCCAAACCGAACAAGUCGAAUGUGGCAUGAGAGAGGGAGUUAGACAGAAGGUUUUUGUGCGAAACAACUGUUUUCUUUCAAACUCGGUGUCAUGGAAGUUUACAGCGGGAUGAAAGUCGGCUACAUGGAGUGCACCAUCUGCUGCACAUCCAUCAAGGGGUUUCAAACUUAUCCACUUAUGAUACAGUAUACAGUUUUUUCCUUUAAUCUAAAACAGGCAAUGCAAAUGUAUUAGCACAAGCAUUCAGGUUUGCAGUAUAAGUGUUAAUUAAACUAAACAGGCUUGUUUCGAUCGACAGCCUCUGGGAAAUUAAUGUUAUUGUGAGCUUUGUAUGUAUUCCUCUGCUGCUCAUAUGUGAGAAGCAACAAUGUUCUAUAUGUGUUUUUUUAUGCAGAGAUAAAUUUAAAGAACGAUGUUUUUUUAGAGUGAAUUUGAGCCGAUGUGUUGACUUCAACUACAGAGUCACAUGAAAUUUUUAAAGUAGGUCCAACACAUCAUUCCUAUACAGAUGCUGGUUAUGAGGUUGCAGCAAUAAACUAAGUUCACAGUCGGCUCUCAAGGUCCUUACACACCGGGAAUGACGCAAAUAUACGACACGAAAUAUUCAGAGGCGAAUUUUGAAAGGCCUGACUAUACACAUCAAGCGCGAUGCGAUUUUGCGACUUUCCAGGGGGAAAAAGACACGUCCCGGGAGGAAGUGAGAAGACUGACACAACAGCAGACUGAGUGUUUUUCAGUUCUGAUUAGACUCUAGUGUUGAGAUGUCUGUCUGUCAAAAAAUAAAGGUAGAAUUUUUUCUUUUUUUUAUGCUUAGGGCCCCGCGGCCAAUAAGCAGGCACUGAGUUUGCUUAUGCCUUGGGCUGGCUCUGAUUCAGGACCACGGUGAAUGGCUUUUGAGGAAAUAUUUCUCAGGUUGAAACUAUGCUCCCUGAAUUUAGCGUCGGGAUAGUACCAAAUGUGAGGAGUCAACUAGCGAGUCAACUUUUUACCUUUUUUUGUUUUUAAACAAUAGUGUCCACGUUUAUUGUCAGAAACUUCAGAUGCUUCUUCAGUCUAUAGGUCCUUACACAUCAGGAACGAUGCAAAUAUAUAAUGCAAGUUUAUGUGGCAGCUUCCAUUACAGAGGUUUUCAAUGUAGUGCCGUCUGAGGGCCUCUCUUGUUUUGUUACCUCCGCCAAGGAGGUUAUGUUUUCGGUAGCGUUGGUUUGUUUGUUUGUUUGUCUGUUAUCAACUUUACGGAGAAAGUUACGGACGGAUUGACCUGAAAUUCUCACCAGAGGUGCGUCUCAGCCCCAGGAGGAUCCCAUUACAUUUUGGUGGUGAUCCGGAUCGCCUUCUGGAUCCAGGAAUUUUUUGAAGGAUUCUUUAUCAUUGUGAGAAUUUUUGCAUUUAACUCUAUAAAAAUGUCCAGAGUCUUUAGUAAAAAAUGACACAAAAGGAUCUCAAUGAGUUUUAUGAGGUGUCAAAGGUUGAUCCUGAUCCAGACAAAAUUCUGGAUACUGUGAUCCAGAACACACAAAAAUAAGGGUGUCGUUGGAGUUUUCAAUGCUGAAAGAUAACCAAUGGGCGGCACAGUGGUGUAGUGGUUAGCACUGUCGCCUCACAGUAAGAAGGUCCUGGGUUCGAAUCCGGGUCAGGGCAUUUCUUGUUUUAGGAACAUUAUGAACAGUGAACAUACCAGUUUAAACACAAAUAAACGUUAAUAAAAGACAUGUAACAGUCAAAGUUUUGGUGUGAAUCUCAAUAUAAGGGGGACAUGAGCUGCUUGGCAGGAGGUCUGCGCUCUCAGAGUGCUUUUCUAGUUUUCUCUCGAUUCACUCCAUCUUUCAAGGACUUUAUGUACCUCAGUUGGUAAAUCCUCUAAAUUCUCUGUAAUUUUUACUAAGAAGGAAGGACAGAAAACAAAAACACUCACUAGUUCUCCUGGUACCAUAAAAGCUAACAUGGCAGCUAGUGCUAAUGGCUGAAAAUGUUUUAUUGUGAGUACCUUUUUAGUUUUACUGUACCUGACCUUUUGAACAUCAUGGGCAAAAUUCACAAAAAAGCCACCUUUAUAGUUUCCUCUCCCCAAAGAGCCUCUCCUCUUAGUCACUUUGUAUCCCCGAGCAGCAUUUCCUGCGCCUUUUUAUCAUAAAUCCAUUUCUGUUGUUAUUGGGUCGGACUUACUCUCCGAUGGGACUUCAUGUUGCUUUAAAAACCAAUAACCGAGAGCCUCUGGCAAGUUUCCGGACAAUUUAUCAUUGUUGCUAAAUGUAAGCAGGGUGCUGUGGUGAUGUUUACAGAUUUAAAGGCAGGUUUUAGGAAACACUCUGAGUAUAUGUGUGUGCGUGAGCCGGUGCCUGUUUGGUGGCGUUGCAUCGUUGUAAUCUGCAACACAAAUCACCACAGAUUAUCUGUCUUGAAGCCAGAGCUUUAAUGAGAAACAAAUAGAGUCAAAUGAAGAUAAUAAAUGCCAAGAGGUGAGCCGUCGGGGCUUUUAUUUUGUAAAUUUAAGGAUGUUGACGUGUUCUGAGCAGACAGCAUUAAUUUAAACCGUUAAAUCUGCAGGGCCGCUCUGCUGUGUCGAGCCUGCAGCCACUAAAGACAAACAUAUUCAGUUCUUUCAAAAAUGGCAGAAUGCCCGAGUGUUAAAAGUGUUUAUGGAUGUGUUAAUGUCCCCACGGUCCAUUGUCAACAUUACAAACCCCACAGUGGUGCUUUAAUUUAAAUAAUAUUAAAAUUAAGCCAAAGACUAUAAAUAUUCCACUAAGUGUGAGUCUUCCUGCCCAGGUUGUGCGGCACUUCUCUGUACUUAAAUGAAUGAAUAUUAAAGGGGACAUCCUGAUGUGUUUUAUUACUCUCACAAAAAGUUAAAGGACUCAGAGGGACUUUUUUAAACGGACAAAAUUCGGUUUCAGCGGAUAAGAAUAAGAAUCUGCUGUAGCUCUUUUUACAGAUCAUGUUGAUCCUGAUUGAAAGGGUUAAAAACUGUGGUGGCACGGCUCCAAACUGUGAAAAAGUUGUCCUUUAGAGGUACUUAAAGGUUUGACGGUGAUUGGUGUUGUGGCGAGCUUUAAUAAACUGGACUGGUGGAUGUGAUAGACUGAGAAAUUGUGACUCUGCUGCAGCCCUUGAACAUUUAAAACGCUCACUUAGAGAUGCCCAUACAGAUGCUCGCGCAGCCUCUUUAACUCUGAGUCAUGCCGUUUUUCAACAUACAGUCAUGCUUCAUCCCCUACUGUGGAUGAGUGUGUUGGCAUGAAAGUUUGAUUUAUCCUCGUAAUAUCCAUCAGGUCAGUGGGACCUUGGGAAGGCUGGGCCAUAAAAUGCAGGGCUCUGGCUGGGCCUUUUUAAUACAGUCUCAGUAAAAUGGCUGAAGGUCAACGGCACUCUCACUCAAUCAGAUAGAAACGGCUCCAGCAGCUGGAGCAACUGUUGUUGCUUUAAAGUUUGGCUGAUACACUGCAGUCGCUGGGCUCUGAAUAAAAGAUGUUUGUUCUGCUGGUGGAAACAAUGACUGUAAGAUGUUCCACAGGAGAGGGAUGUGUCUCUCACGGUGGAGUUAUUACUCUGCGGUAGCAGGUAUCACUUCUAUAGCUGGUACACAGUAAAAGACGCCGGCUCCCCCCGGUAAAAACACUGAGUAAGAUCUUUGUUUCCCUGCAGAAACACAAGCGCAUCCCCGGGGAAAUUAGCCUCGCUAGUUAGUUUGUGCCUCUCUUAUUUGAUCUCUUUUGAAAUGCAUGUGUCAGAAUGCCGAGAAUAUGCUCACUGUAAGGAAAGAGAUCCUUCUGCAUCAUUGGAGACACACAGAGCAAAUAAGCGUACAGGCGUUUGUGUUGGCUGAGGCUUUUAAAACAUCGCAACCGAAUAGCCGAAGCUUGUUCGUCUAAUGAGAAGCUCUCUCUCCCGUCAAAACAGGAUUUUACAGGAUCACAUGUUCCAGAGGGUUUAAUGAAUUUGACACAGUCUGGUGUGCACGACUUCCCCGCUAAACAUGCAUGUUAUGUGGGGAAAAUAGAGACAUUUUGAAGGAAUCAGAUUAACAUAUGAUUAACGUACAGCGCACACGAUGACGGCAGGCUGAAAGAGGCUUUAAUUAAAGUGUGUGUCUGAUCCUAGAAGUGGGAAUUUUAUCUCUAUAGGUAAGCCGCACUUUCAUUAAAGUUAUCUUUCAUUAUUUCUUAUAUAUCUUUACUUAUAAAUUUACUGUAAACAUUAUAGAUUUUGAAAGGUUGGCAGCACAUUCACACAUUUAUCUAUCACUGCCUUGAAUCGCAGCAUGUGGUCGCUCAGUACUCUACCUUUUUCUUUUUUUCUAAAAGUUGGAUUUGCACUAUUAAAAAGUUACUUGAUUAUUGAGUAAGUUAAUAAUGUAGCUUUGACAUACUUUGAUUCUGUCGGCCUCUCUAAUACCAGUUAUUACGUAUUCAUUUAUUCCCAUUAUCGCUCCGAACACUUUGAAUUCCCAUUUUCAGUCGAGUGGUUGAGGUAACAUGCUGUUAGCCCAGCCUUCACGAGGUCGUCGAGUUUGACUGAAAUGACGCUUUUUCCUUUGGAUUAAAAGACUUGCACGAAUUAUCACACCCUCAUCGCGUUGUCUUUUUUAUUUCCCAAAGUCUUGCUCAGCUCCAGAGUUCGUGGACUGUAUGUCUCGGCUCACUGGAUCGGUUUCCCAACAAAGAGCCGAGUCAUUUCCACCAAACUGGAAACCUAAAUGGGUCAAACUCAAAUUCUUCUCCCCUCGUUUCAAUCCGAGUUGAGAAACUAUGUCACCCAAACUGAGCUGAAGCAAAAUAUCAGCAGGCACAAACUAUCACAAUGUGAUAACAUAAUGAAGCGCAGUGAUGUAGACAAUUGGAAAUGGUCCUUUCCAGAUAACAAGAAUCCAAACGCAAAGCUUGGCGGGGCCCGGGAAAUAAAUCCAAAAACACUGAGUUAAAUUGGAGAAAUGAGUGAGGAAAAGGGAUUGUUAUACUCUAGAAAUUGCACAUUACAAAUACAUUGAGAUGAUUUGUUGUCAGGAUGAGCAUUGUAUCUCUUCUUGAUGGAAAUUAGGUCUUUAAUAAGAGGAAUACUGAGCGAAAUGGCUCUGCCUCUGCACAUAAGAGGAAAUCUGCCCAUUUAGCCGAGCGUAAAGUGAGACACACUCCAUCCAAAGUGAGAAAAGGUUUGUUUUCCCAAAAGAGAGAAUAAAAGAAGUGAAAACAUGUUUGUCUCCCAAUCGUGGGGUGAAUUCAGCUGAUUAAAACUUGUCGUUUCUACUUGAUUUCACCAUAUUUUAAUUACUGUGAUCAUGUGUUUCUCAAGGAUUGUGUUGACGAAAAUAUCUUAAAUGUGUCCGGGUGUGUAAAGGCCCCACAGCUGCACUGUCUUUGUGAUCACGCUCAAUCAAAAUCUGAUGACUGACUGAAUAUCGGCCUUUGACGGCCUUGUGUUUUAUUUUGGCGAAGGAAUUAAAACUUAAUUCAGGCAGCGGAGAAUUCAUCUGAAAGCACACUCUGAAAGCGCGGGGCGAAAAAACGAACCCAAAAAGCGCUGCAGAGAGAAAGGCGAUAGUUGGGAUUAAUUGUGCGUAAAUUUGCUUCCGCCAAAUUUGUGAGCGCCUCCGACGGAUGAAUAAUGUGUGAUGUUCACAGCUUAAUUAUAUAUAGAGAGCAUUACGAUCUGGCUGCCAGCAUGAUCCAGCGGGAGAGGAGUAUGUUCUUUACCACAGCUGCCAUGCUUUCAUUCAAUCUGACAGCUGUCAUAGAAAAUCCAAUAUAAUAAAAUGUUUAAUCAGUCUGCAAAAUAUGAACACGUCGUCUGGAUAUGUCUCUGUGCGGUAUCCCUUAAAUUUAUUCACAUUUUUAUGUCUGUAUUUUUGAGAGGAGGUCUCCGAAGGCAUACUAACACUCGAGUGAAACUGUUUUUCAGAAGAAGCAGACACAAACUGGGAAAUUUACCACCAAUAAUACAAACUGAAUUCUAAAUAAAUGAGAAACUGUGCAAAACGGUAUUACAAACUGAAUUCUAAUGGUGUGAGAAUCAAUUUGCAUCAACAUAUCAUCAAGAGUGUUGGUGUUUAAAGGGAUAUUCCAGCGUAAAAUUAAUUUAGGGUCAAAUACGCCGUAACACUGAGUUAGACACCCCCUCGAGAGAUGAAUGUUGCAGACCGCUUGCUUCUCUAGUUAUACCAACUUUAGUAACGACGACACGAUAGCAAUACACAGUGAUCUGAGGAGUCAUAAACAAACAUCAACCAAAACGCCACUCUGUAGACACAAAUAAUGCUCAGAACAGCACCUAACUUCAUCAACAGGACAGAUAGGGUCCCAGACAUAGCACUAGACACCAAACAUCUUUUUAACUUUGACUAAUUUCUUUAGCAAAGAGACUAAACACAACUCACCUACUCUCUUCCAGCAGCCACUUGUUUGUAGUGAGACCUCAUGGGGUGACGCAGCUCAAGGAAGAACAUUUGUGAUCAUUUCUUUAUCAUUUCCUUGAAGUAAUAAUCAUCAUAUUAAUCAUUUUACACUGCAGACACAGUCGUUCUUCUGCCUUAGCGUCUCGGUCUGAUUGUAUUUCCAUGAGGAAAUGAUCAUAAAUGUUCUUCCUUGAGCUGCGGCACCCCGCUGCAGUAGAUGGACUUGCCCUGGAGGUCCCUGUACAAACAAGCGGCUGCUGGAAGAGAGUAGGUGAGUUGUGUUUAGUCUCUUUGCUAAAGAAAUAAGGCAAAGUUUAAAAGAUGUUUGGUGUCUAGUACUAUGGCUGGGACCCUAUAUGUCCUGUUGAUGAAGUUAGGUGCUGUUCUGAACAUUAUUUGUGGCUAUAGAGUGGCGUUUUGGUUGAUGUUUGUUUAUGGCUCCUCAGAUCGCUGUGUAUUGCUAUCCUGCGGUCGUUACUAAAGUUGGUAUAACUAGAGAAGCAAGCGGUCGGCAACAUUUAUCUCUCGAGGGGGUGUCUAACUUGGUGUCACGGUGUGUUUAACCCUAAAUUAAUUUUACGCCUGAAUAUCCCUUUAACUUUGACACUGUGGUCCCUCUCCUCUUUGGAGUGGGAGGAUGCAGCGUCUAUGAAUUUGUACCAACAUAGGAUAGAUUUUUCGCUUUGGUUCAGUCCAUGAAUUCCUGGAUCUAAAUCUGGAUGCUUUCUACAUAAGGAGAGAUUUUCAUCUGACCUCAGAUCAUAAUUUCCAAAAAGAAAUACCAAUUUUUAAAUGAUGAAACUACAUUUCCUCUCUGGCCCUGAGAAGUCUCUGGCAUACCUUGUAGUUUCCUCUGUGCGGUUGUAACCAACGUUUGUGGAUGCAAAGACAAACAGUCGCUUUUAGAAGUGAUUUGCACCAAUGCAGGGAUUUCUACUACAGAGUCAUGUCUGUUUUUUAAUACAGUUCCUCCGUCAGAAUGUUUCUUCAGCUUCUGUUAUGAAAAGAUGAUAAAAUUCCCCAAAUUCUUUGCAACUCCAUGUCAGUUUUGUUGAAAUAUUUGCUCAUGUCGUCUCUCGUUCCUCUGAAUGUUUAUUAAACAUUACACAGCUCUUCGUUUUCUUGUCCCUAUCCUGACAUGAAACUAGAUCAACAUUUUAGACUUCAUAUAGACCAAGCUCACGCACUCCAAAGUCCCCAAAGCACCCCUCUAGCACCCCAGGAAGGCUCUGACAUGAGGUUAAAAUGAGGACAGGCUGUUUUGGACGUGUGUGAGAAUGUACACCCACAAGAGCUCCAGGUGUAACCCACACCAAGUUCAGCCACUCCAUGGCAACACUCCUUUAUUGCAAUCCUCCGAGUACUUUGGUGUCUGUAAAAACGCCAUUAUCCCAAACAGACAUAAGAGGGUAAUUUACCAACAAAAGUAAGGCUGCGAGUGUUGUAUAAAGAUAGUUUUUAUAGUCCUGCAACACUGACACUGCGUUUACAAAAACAGGGGACAUAGAGACAAACAACGCAAACCAUUUAAAGCCCAUAAAACUGACAAUAAAAUAAAAUGAGUCUUAUAACUAGGAGUCGACGAAUGCUGACCGUUAAUAAACUUUUAUGUCUGCUUAUGCAAUCAAAAUGUUAAUUCACAGUGAACAAAAGAGGCGAAUGCUUUUCUUCUGUUCUUUAAAGAAAGACGGAGAUAAAAAAAAUUAUUGCCCUGCAGGGUGGAAUAAAGGCAGAAAAAGUUGUUUUAAGGUUGAAUUCCAGUUUUAGAAGCAGCAGCAGUGUCCCUCAUCAGCAAUGCUUCCUUCUGAAAUUGAACACCUGCUGCUAAAAAGAGAGGCAGCGGAAACCCUCAAAUCACAAGUUCUGAUCAAACGCAGGGUGGAGCCGACGCACUCAGAUGAAACUAUUUCUCCUGCCUAAUAAAGGAAACAAAGUCUCACUCCUUGUUCUACUUUAAGUGAUUUAGAAAGAAACGUGCCCAUUUUUCCAGAGAGGGAGUGUCAGGCCUGCUUACUGUCAUUUGGAAUGACCUUGUCACUCGCACUUGGCAGAUCUUUGAAUUACAUCCCACUGCUCCCCCCCUAAUGCUAUCAUUACCAUUAUUAAUGGGACAUGACACAAGUCAUUGCCACACAUAACACUCUCCCACAGCCGAGGAGUAAUGGCUUCCCUCUGAUGUAAUGCCGCCGCUUUCUUAGUUAGUGUGACAGGGAGUCAAAUAUUGAGAGUGCAAUACUUGUGCUGCAGACUUAAUGCAAGAGUCGUACAGAGGACUUCUCACACAGGCAAUAAAAUCCAAUUUCAUCUGUGGGUGUGUGGUUGUGAAUUAAAUGCCCCCAUCUGUAAUUUGUUCCAAACACUCCAGCUUUACCAAUAUUAGCCGGACACUGAUUGAAAAGGUGCCGCUGUCCGUGGUGCUGAAAUUCAUCUGUGGCUUUGCAGGCUGCGGCACUGCGGUCAAUAUCUCUGCAGGGCAUGUUUUGUCCCACUGUAAAUCAUUCCUGAUUACAUGUAAAUUAUGCAGCAGGUCCAAUAUUAAAUGGCUCUUUAUACAUGAAGUGGAAUCAAUCAUAAAAACAAUACCUAAUAGCUCUAUUUAAAUCACCCGCUGUGACUGCUGUGCAACUUUGUUUUAGGUCUGCUUCAGCGACUGUCCAUUAAAGGCUGCAAUUUCCUCAUUUUCAUUUAUAGACACGUAAAUAGGUUGAAAUGGAAAAAAAAGAAAAAAGCUCUAUUAACAUUCAAUAAGGUUUCCAUUAUUUGUAUUCAAGAAGCAAUUUAAAAGUGUUUUAUUGUUUGUUACAAAUGCCAGAAAAAAUUUAAAUUCUACUGAAUAAUUUUGAUUAUUAAUUCAACUUCACCGAGAACAACAGAGUGAAAAAUAGCCCGCAUUAACCUAUGAAGUAAAAAGUUGAACAAUGUUUGCAAGAUUUUUGCAUAAAUCAGACUUUACAGUGUCAUGUGGUGUUGUGUCAUUCGCGAACGAUUCGUUCAAAAGAACCGAAUCCUUUAAGUGAAAGUACUGAACCGAAUCACUUCCUCGAGUUAUUAGUUUGUUUCUCACUUCAGUUGAGCUGAAGUGAGAAACAGCAUCGCCAGGCCAACGAGGGACCACAUGUACCGACGCCUGAAUCACUUGUUGAACGAAUCACGCAUUGAACUACACUCUCUGGAAUCAUUUUUGUCUGACAAAACUACCUAUUUUUCACUCCUAAAUUGCAACCACAACAACUUGCAUACAAUAGGACACAGCAUGUAACAAGUAGUGCAUAAAACCCGCAGCAUCCUAUCAUUGCAGCGGUUUGCGAGGGAACGGUCCAUGUUCAGUGUGAAUUCUUCUAAACUUUCAGUGAACGAAUCACUCACUGAGCCCAAUUUACCGAGCAGACCUGAUAAAUAGCAUACCAUAGGACAGUACACUUAAAACGAAUCUUUUUAGUGAACUGAUUCUGGUGAUUCAGUACAUUGAAAAGAACUGCAGGGCCCAACACUAGUGUUGUAUCCUGGCUCACAACAUAGAACAAAAAUAAAGCAAACACAACAAAAUGGUGCAAAUUUAAAUCACAGAAGAGUGCUGCUGGAUGAGUGUGAGAUAUGUGGGCGUUUUAUGUGGUGUAAAUGAACUAUAAAGAUGGUCAAAGCCAACUAAACAAAAACCGUGUUGUGUUGGAUGUCCCGGCAAAGAUGAGAGAGAGACAGAAGGAGUGGGUCAACUACCUGAUCUUAUAAAAACCCGGGGGACUGGAAAGAUAUUCCCGACUGCUGCAAACCCAGCCCAACAGCGACCAUCUGGAGGACAAACACAAAGCCGUAAUAAAAGGACCAAAACAAAACAAAACAAAACAGAGCAGAUCCCAGGAGGGAGGCUCCACAAGGCCAGACUGACUGCCAGGUUCAAUACAUCCAUGCAACCAUCCAUCGAACAAUAUAACAAUGCAACCGAACCUCCAUUCAUGGAUCCAUCAACCAUUUAUGCAACCAUACAUGCAAUCACUCAUGCAUACAUUUGUCCAUUCAUGCAGCCAUUAAAGGGAUAUUCCAACGUAUAAUGAAGCUAGGGUCAAACACACCGCAACUUUAGUAAUGACCACACGACAGCAAUACAGAGAGCCACGCGCUCAACCAAAACGUCACUCUAUAACCACAAAUAAUGCUCAGAACAGCACCUAACUUCAUCAACAGUACAUAUAGGGUCCCAGCCAUAGUACUAGACACCAAACAUCUUUUUAACUUUGACUCAUUUCUUUAGCAAAGUGACUAAACACAACUCACCCUCUCUCUUCCAGCAGCCGCUUGUUUGUAUGGAGAUCUCUGGGCGAGUCCAUCGACUGCAGCAGGGUGACGCAGCUCAAGGAAGAACAUUUAUGAUCAUUUCCUCGUGGAAAUGCAAUCAGACCGAGACGCUAAGGCAGAAGAACUACUGUGUCUACAGUGCAAAUUAAAUAAUAUGGUCUCCGUACAAACAAGUGGCUGCUGGAACAGAGUAGGUGAGUUGUGUUUAGUCUCUUUGCUAAAGAAAUGAGUCAAAGUUAAAAAGAUGUUUGGUGGCUAGUGCUAUGUCUGUGACCCUAUAUGUCCUGUUGAUGAAGUUAGGUGCUGUUCUGAGCAUUAUUUGUGACUAUAGAGUGGCGUUUUGGUUGAGCACGUGCCUCUCUGUAUUGCUAUCCUGCGGUCGUUAAUAAAGUUGGAAUAACUAGAGAAGCAAGAGGUCGGCAACAUUCAUCUCUCGACGGGGUGUCUAACUCGGUGUUACAGUGUGUUUGACCCUGACUUCAUUUCACGCCUGAAUAUCCCUUUAAUGUAACUCUGUAUGCAUCCAUUCAUUCCCUUCCACUUAUUUGAUAUUGGGUUGAGGCUGCAGUAUGUUACGCAAGGGGACCCUGACAUCCCCUUCCUAUCUACAUUUUCCAGCUUCUCUUUGGUUAUUCCACGGUCUUACCGCCCCAGAUGGACUGUCUUACCUCUCAGCAAGUUUUGGGUCUACCUUCAGGUCUCCUUCCAGUCCCAUGUCUCUGAAAAACCUCUCUGAGGAAGCAUUUGCGUAUUACUGGGCUCCAGGAUAUAUUCAAAAUAGCUGUUUUCGUACCCUUGAAUGACCAUAUCAGAACAGUGAGUCUGGUUGCAUAUGGUUCAGUUAGCUUUUUUAGCAGUAUCUAUUACAUAACUAGAUAAGAGCCUCUCACAGUAGCUUUAACAACAGGACUCUUCAACCUACUUCUGUGGCCAUUGUCUUUUUUUUUUUUAGCAACUUUUGAAGAGUGUUACUUUAAUGAGCUUUGUUUGUGUUUGUUUCUAAUAUUUCUGCUCGUUAAACAGCACCAACAAAGUGGAGAUCCAGCUUUCAAACUGGGACGAGGGUUUGCUCUACUUCUUGUUUCCAAUUAUAAAUAAUGUUGGGUUUUGAGCAAACAUGUUUCCACAUGCAUUGAGGUUUCUUUUGUCAGUUUUUGCUCUUCUCUAUCAUCCUGUCACAGUUAAAGGAUGACUCAGCUAACUGCCAGAUGUGAGGACGGCACUGUCCCUCUUUUGUUCCUCCCGAAGAAGACCUCUGCAUUCGUAGCCUCAUUAUACGUCUUAAUGACUCCACUGCAGCUAUCUCUGCGAAGGCGUGCUAAAGGUCAGAUCAGCAUCUUAAUGCGCCGUCCUCCUGCCUUCUGACCCACGUGCAAACCUCGGUCACUCAGAUCAGACAUGUUCGGUAGCCUGUAGAACAUAUCAGUCGAUCCUAAUGAAAUCACAGAUCCUUUGAUUCAACUUUGACAUUUAGUUUGAGCACCCGUUGCAAAGAUCACUACUGGCAAAUGAGCUUCUCAUCUUCAAGCUUUGUCAUGUUCCUGGUGUGAAUGCUGCAGUCGUCAUGCAGAUUUAAAGAAGUCUAGAUGGAGAGACAGAGUUUGACAGAAUUCGUAGGUCUUCUUGGACUGAAAGGGUCUCAGACUGAAAUCUUCCGGUGUUUCUUGCCUUUAAAAGUUCCCCACAGUAUCGAUAAAUUCUUAGACGCUAUAUGAAAUGAAAAUGGAAAUGAAAUGCAAAGCCACUCAAGGUUUCAGCAGGUUUUCAUCAGCUGGCAUCAGGUCAGAUGGCUGUAUUAGAUCUGCGCUCUACCAAAUGGGGUUCUGACUGGAUCAUUGCUCGCUCCCUUUGGUCUCUAAUGGAUGAAUUACAUUGCUUUCAUGACUUCCAGAUCUAUUUCUCUGAGUCUCUCUGAGAAUAAUUGGUGGAGUUCUGAACUUUCCGGGUGUUUACAUAAAAAGCUUUUGUAUUAUUUAUAAUCGGAGGCUAAAUCACACAGGCAUGCACACACACAGUUUAGUAGUUGAAUUACUCUCUGUCGGCUUGUCGCCCAGCCGGGGUUUCAGACUCAGUAAAAUAAGGAAUGGAGCUUCCUUUCCUUACCUCAGAGCCUCGCUGCCACUCCAGCACAGUAAUUACCUCGUCCUUCUUUACUGCUAAUGAGAAGGUAAAAUAUGAGCUUCUGGCAACUGCAGUCAUUUGCGACCCUGGCUCGCUCCUGGCAGGAGUGGAGAGGGAGAAGGAGAGAGACUAAUUUCUACCCAGAAGCCACCUCUGAAUGGUGCCAUCCAUCCUUAACCCACCUGUACAAGUUAUCCAGGGUUACCCCAGGUCUGUGUCUGGAUAAUGUUACACUGAGUUGGAUGAGCAGUUUGCUGGAGUGAGCACUUUCUUGGGUAAAUGAAAACAGUCAGACUCUUGAUACUUCCCGACAAACUAUAGCCUCUUAGAAAAGAUCAUAGAGUGGGUGUUCUGGGUUAGGUUUUCAUUACUGUAGUACUGUGAUAUAGAAAGUACUAGUGUUACAUCAAUCACUGCCUUUUGAACCUGUCUGCUAAGGCUUGCAGUUUGGUGUCAUGGUGUUUGGGACUGGUGAUUCGUUUUAGACACUGUACACUCUAAAAACUCUUGGGUUAUUUCUUCAACCCAAUUCCUGGGUUAUAUGUGUUGAGUUAAAUUUCUUGGUUAUUUUUCAGAUCCAUACCCAUUUCGCGGGUCAUAUGGAUUCUAUCGUAACCCAAUUUGAGCGUUUUUUAAAUGGGUUAAUAAUUAUGGGUUAUUUUUCUGAAAGUAACCCAAUGAUUGGGUCAGAACGCUGGGUUCAAUGGACUCUACGUGGUUCCUAGGCCUAAUGGCAAUUAAAGUGACCUUGUGAAAUUUGACCUUGAUUUGGGGUUGGAAUCCCUCAUGAGACACAUCUGUAAGGAGCAAACUACAUCCACCAGUUUGGGUCCUUAGGUAAGACCCUUAACGCUAUGGCCUACAACCAGAUAGAUAAAAGUACAUGGGAAAAUAUGGUACAGGUUGUAAAAGCUAAGCUCCCCAAAUGCAUCUAUCAAUCUAUCCCAAGAUCAUGAGUCAAAUUAACUUAAACAUUUAAACAUUGGGUUAACUUGACUCUUAAAAAGGGUUAUUGAGUCAACCCAAAAUUUGGGUUAAUUUGAUUAACCCAACAUUCUGGGUCAAAAUAACCCAACAAGUAGUUGGUCCUUUUUCAACCCUGGUGUUAACCCAGGGGUUUUUAGAGUGUAACAUCAACUAUAAGCUUUUGAACCCACUUAAGAGUUUUUGAGUGUUGAUGGUGAUCACUUUGAGGUCAACCUUAAGUUUUUUUAAACCCUCCUCUCAAGAUAAGACAUUGGUUUUUUGGUGUUUUGUUGAUAGAGAUUGAGUUGUCAACAUUUUGCUUUUGAACCCUUAAAGCGUCUUUGGUGGUAUUUUGGGUGGUACUGUGGUAGAAGUCAGUUUUGCAUCAACCAGCUGUUAAACUGACCUGGAGUUUGGUAACUUAGACUCAACGUCUUUAGUCUGGUGGUAGCUAUCUCAAGGUCAAAUCUGAGCCUUUGAACUUUCUUCUUAAAACCUGGAGUAAAUGAGUUUAAUUUUGGUGAUUUAAGUUAGCUUUUGAACGCCCCAUUUGAAGUCUGUAGUUGGUGGUUUUUGAGAUGCUCCUAAAGUUUGCAUCAUUAGCUUUUAAAUGUGUUCAGGAGCUUGAUACUGGUUGGUUUUGGUGGUGUGUUUCAUUCGCUUCCUCCUCCUCUGCUUUUAAACCCAUCUUUUUUUGGGGGGUGAAAGCAACUCUAGCUUUGUUCUGGACUUUUGAGCCUCCCUUUUUGAAGCUUUAAGUUCGGCAUUGUUGCAUUUCAGAGGUAUUUUGGCGGUAACUUGUCAACGGCCAAUUAUUCACUUUUUAAACUUCCUGUUUCAAAGCUUGGUGUGCGUUCUUUUGGUGUUGUUACAGUGGUAGCAGCAUUGAUCUGAACCCUUUAAUUAUAGCUGUAUGACUGGCUUUUUUGGCAUCAACCAUUAGCUUUUGAAUCUCAUAUUUAAAGCUCAGUGUUUGGUAGUUCUGUGGUUGUGUUUAGAACCAUAGUUGGCCAUUUCUGAUCCCUGAUUAUUGUUUUAUUUCAGAUUACAGGCCACCCGAGUUCCAAUUUGCUAAUUAAAACUGUAUACAAACACCAAGCUUGUUAUUUUACUGUAAAUUGUACCAUUUAUUACAAAGUGACAAUAAUCCUGCUUUGUCAGAACAAAUCUUGAUUGAUUUUUUUCAAUAGUUGGGAAAUUAGAACCAUUUUCUGGUCUGGUUUAGACAAUUUUGUCUUCCUUUCUGCUGGCUGUUAUAAAUAAUGCAGAUUUGAAGCACUUGUGUGUGGUCCUCAGUUUGAAAAACAGAGGUGAUAUGCUGAGUUAUGAUUUCAAAGUGAACUUUAACUCUUCUUUAGUGACUCACAACAUUAGGAUCCCUCUCAUGACCUUCUUCUGUGAUCUUUCCUUCACUUCCAUGCCCACAUGCUAACACAAAAAAGUCAGACUCUUUUAAGGGUGUAAUAAAACUCAGCGUGAUUUAAGAGCUAUGCUAGAUGACCCCAAUGUGUGAAUUUGACAGAAAUGUGAUCUCUCAAAGGCACCUUUCACCUCCUAUCAGCAACAAAACAUGAACAUUCAAACACCAUCAAAAUGAAAUGCACGCUUUAUGGGCCUGUAAGACUCUUUAUUCACCAGGCGAUCUAUAUUUCCAUGUCAUCGCCGCUCUCCUCUAUUCCAUUAUCAUUUUUUAUCUGAUAGGAAACAAAUCAAGGGUUUCCCAGUGUCAGGAACAAAAGCCAUUUUUGUGUUGAAGGUUAUAGAAAAGCAUCGUCACGUAAGGGAAAUGAUUAUAUUGGUGCCCUUCGGAUAGACUCCAAUGUCACACAUGAGGAGACAAAGAAUUUCAUCACACAGGCUGAGCUUUUUUGCUUUUUUUUUUUGACAGCAAUCAGAUCCAUUUUAUUCUCUUUGUGGGGCUUCGUAUUUGCUAUAAAAUCUUAGAGAUUGACUCCAAAACCUUACCACAGGGGUGAAAAAAUCCUAUUAGAUUGAAAACAGCAAGAGACGUAAAAAAAAAAAGAGAAAAAAAUCGUAUUAGCAAUAAUAACAGAUUGCAGAAUUCACUGCGUCUGGGAUGACUAUUUUAGUGAAAAUGAUACAGCCAGGGUAUGAGAAAUUAAACCCAUUUCAGAGGGUGGUGUCAAUGCUGAUGUUUACUGGUUUUACAGACACUUCCAUUAGAAAACCAUUAGCAAGGCGAUUACUAUGAUUAACUCAAAAUUGACCCACUGCGUCCAUUCACUAAUCCCACUGACCAUAAUGCAAUGCAGUUACCAUAUGACUCGUUUCGGAGCAUUUAAGUGGAUGAACUUUGCACCCCGGUCCUGCUGGAGUUAUCGGGGGGGAUUAACUGGGGUUAGAAACCAAAGAUUGGAAGAUGUACCAUGUCAAUACGAUGUUAUUGCAAUAAAACUGAUUGGCCUGACCUCUGCGCUUCGACAAGAGGAGCUUCGUUCAGCCGGGGCAAUUACAGCCAGAUAACAGGCGGCUGAAUGAAAAUGUUACAGGAGCUCUCUCAGCUGUUAUCAGUCUUAAUUUAGGCAGACUUUUGGGUCAUGGUUCACCUUUAAGAGGUCAAGAAAUCAAAAUCUAUUAAUUCUACACAAUAAUAAUAAUAAUAAUGUAGAAAAUUUUGUAAAAUAUUACCUGAUUUCAACUGAUUACAAGCAAACCCAAUUGUGUUGCUAUAAAUCUCUAAGUUCUGUAAAACUGAUUUUUUUUUUUUUUUUCUUGUCUGCACAAGAUAAAAUCUUGAAAUUAUUUGUCUCGGUGCAAAGAUUCAGCAAUAACAUCGAAAACAGUAUUUGCUCAAAUAAAACUAGAAAAUUCUUGUGAUAAAUGGCGUCAAAUUGAAAACGGAUGGCCAACAAGAUAACUAUCUUGUGAACACAGGAUGAUAAUUUGUUUUGCACAGUAGUUAGACUUGCAUUUGAGCUGAUAAUCUCCUCCCAUUGAAUAAUUUUCUUAUCUGCAAUAGAUGUUUUUACCUUAAUAAUGUUAUCUUGCAAAAUUGCAUUCAAAAUCAUCCAACAUGAUGAUUGUCUUGUGUGAACAAGCUAACUUGUUCCAUUUACGUAUCCAUCUUUUCUACAUAAUACGAUGACUUUUCCCACAAGUUAUUCCGUGAUCCAACUGAUCUGUGCUCACAAGAUAAAAAAUAGUCUUUAUGUGAUCAUUUUCUUUUGUGCACAGGAUAACUUAUGGUGGGUUCCAGUUACCUCUGUCGUUGGAUGUCAGGGAACGGGAAUGGGAAUGACGCUGCACCCGAGUUGACGGCGUUCCAGUUAACAAGUGGGUAAACCAAGAUGGAUGCAAACAGUUAGCGGUUGUUAGCUGUUGGUUACAAUUGUCAGCUGUUGUUGGCUGAUGUCAGUUGUUAUUGAUACCAGUUGUAAACAACGCAUAACACAGUAUUUUACUCUUACAAACACCAUAUCAAUCAUAUGGGCAGUACAACAUAAACCACGUAUUCAAUUUCCCAAAAACAAAACAAAAGUGCUAAUAAAUAAUACAUUAUGAGAGCUUUUACUGUUACUCUUUGCUGUUGAUGCACUGUGCUGCCAUCUUGAAUUAUGACGUUGUCGUCAAGUCAGGGUUGGUGAGGAUUGUCCAACUUUCUGAAUUGGAAAUCCGACUUCAAGGGGACAUUCCAGAUGAAUUUCCAACUCGGAGCUCGGAAAUCCCAAUGAGUACAACUGGAACGCAAGGUUAUUCCUGAAGAUAGUUCUGAUGUGUGCCCAAGAUGAUAACCUGUUCCAACAAGACAACGAUCUUUGAUAUUGGCAUUUCAGUAUUCUACUUUAGCCUAGAGGCACCAGAGGAAUCCAUCAUGUUUUCUGGUGGUUGAAUUUAGCAUCAGUUUCCAGCUAGUAUCAUGCAACAUUGUUUGCUAAUGUUUGUCAAAGUCUUACAGUGACAAAUUUCUGAACAUUUGUUAUAAAUUCUGCAGCUUAAUUUCUUUAUUUGUAGGAUUUUGAGAUUGUAUUUGACAUGUUUCCAGUAGGUCUGGAUGAAGUGGUGAAUGUUUUCCUCACAACAGCUGUUCCAUGAGGAGAUUUUUGGGGAUUAUGUUGUUAAUGCCACAACAGACACCAUAUAAAUCCUCAGAAACACACUUGAUGUUGAAACUGGUAAAUGUACAGCAUUAAUGCAUUUUUACACUUAAUACAGCAGCAAAAAGCCACCAACUCAGCCCUGUUCGAUUCCUCCCACUUUACCUCAGUAUUGCUUAUAACUUUAACUCCAAAUGCAGAUUUCUUGAGUCAAUUAGAGAAACACUAAAGGAUAAAAGGCUACAACUCAGAGAGGCACUUGCACUUAAUUGAUCGUUGUCUGAACAAUGCCAACGCACAGUGAUGUACAAGCUUCUGUUUAAUUACAAGCAUUGUGGAGGCGGGAUUGUAUCAGAGUUCAUGGAGAUUUACUUAAUUUAAAAGGACAUGGCACAUAGAAGCUUGUCUGGGAGAGAAACAAGAUGUGAAAAUCUGCAAAUACCUGGAGAAAACGACCAAGUGACCUGGCAACACUAAUUCUAAAGAUUCUGAGAAUGUGUCCAAGUCAGGCGAGACAAGCACAGUUAAAACGCCAGCAAACAAUUUGGUAGAAGUUUUGGCGCUGUGGGCAGGUGCAAAGUUCUGUUGAUAAAGGAAACAAGCAUCUCUGUGAAGCUUGGCUGCAAUUUGCAUUUCUGUACCACAUCCUGCAGUGAGUCCAACCAUGGAGCCAGCUUUUUACCACUUUCGAACUUCAGCCGUUGCCUUGGGUGGGAUGUAUACAAGUAUUGGUAUAAUAUGACAUGUAUGUCUUUUAACGUAAAUUCUUACAUGCAAAUGGGAUCUGGUUCCACUCUGAGCCAAGCCGAUGACAAAUCAUCACCAUGGACGACCAAUUACUUGUUUAAAAGGGUGCCUCUACAAGACUGUAUUGAAAACAGCAUAUUGUUAGGUAGGCGGGGAACACUUUGAAAUGCUUUAAGUGCAUAUAGGUUUUCAAAAGCAGAGGAAAAUAAGGUUUCAGCUCUUUAUAGCAAAGUGGCUUUUUCAUGCAACUGGAAUAAUAGCUUGGUCAAACAGAGGUGGCGUUCUGGUUCAGCCUAAAAGACAUCCUCAGGCUGCAUCUUGAGGGACUAAAACUUCAGGUUCAGGUGCGCUAAAGCUGGAAAAGAGUUAUAUCUGUUCUGAAAGGCCAGGUGAGAAGGUGGGGUUAAAAGUCCAGAACUGAAUAAAGAGCAGCGAUAGAUUUUAAUUCAAGUUUGCAGUCUCUGAGAUCCAGUCAAUUCCUGCAUGAAGUGGGAGCAAAUGUCACUCCGUUGGCUUUGAUUACUGUGCGACAUUUAAAAAGUUAGAAAACACCGUCCUGUUUUGACCAAGCCUCGUUCAGACCAUUACAGGCCGGGAAUGUUUCUUCAUCUGUUGAUUCCAAGCCUGAAGGUCAUGACCAGGACAAGAAAUGUAAAUCUGGUGGUCGUUUAUUGGUAGAAUACAGUAAAAUAGGGCAAAGCUUCACCAAAAUGCUUGAUGAGUGGAUUAAACCGUUCAACCGACCCUUCAGCAAUCAACCAGAGCGCAAAUAUUCAAUAAUUCUGUUGCUUUUUCCUCAAAUCAUGAUUCAGCACAGCACCAUAAGUUUGCACAUCUUGACACUGUACUUAAUCCUCAAUUAAAAUGUAUCAUCAUUCCAGUAUACAUCCGAAUGCAAGAAAGAAAGAAAUUGUUUAGCCCUGGAACAACCCCAGCCUGAUGAAACCUCGGCGCUCCAAAGCAAAGCAGAUCAGAAAAUGACAUCUCCCUAUUCAGAUUGACUGAUUCCUGCCGAGGCUUGCGCGCAGAAAGCGCACGCUCCGGGCUGCUCAUACAGAAGGCUAACCACACGUAGAUAAGGCCGAACCCGACUGGUGACACGCCUGGCUUGGAAAAGGGGAGGAAGAAAGCAAAUCACUCAGGACAAUCUAUUCCCUCCGCUGCCAGUCACUUCACUGCCGUCAAUUCAAUACCGGCUGCUCCAGAGCGACACAGUGGCCUCUGAAUACCAUUUCCAUAUCAUUAUUCCUACAUAAAUGGCAGACCGCUUGCUGUUUCAUCAACCUUUUGGACCACAUGCUGGUAAAUAAAUAAACAAAGUUCUCAGGUGUAUAUAUGGAAAGGGUGAGGAGAAGCUAAUGGGAUGGAGAGGCCCGCAAAUAGGGACCAGGAAGUGCUUUGUAGCUGUGGCUGGCUUUAUUGUCGGACGGGUUGACCCCCAGUUGAAUGAACAUUUGUCAUUGGGGAAGGGGGGGCGGUUUUCUCUUUGUAGGUUUGCGCAGGUGGACGGACUAAAUGGGUGCAAAAAUGCAAUUCUCUUGGGGGAAUGAGGGUCUUUUCAAGUCCAGGACUGGCAUGUUUGUCUUGUUUAUUAAAAGAUAAAUAUUAUAGAAAAUGAGUGUUUGUGCACUAAACAACCAUGAGUGGAACAGUUGCUGUGGUUACCAAUAAGACUUUUCUUGUUGGUCCAUGCCCAGAAUGAAAAAAUGCCCCAUCUAUAGCUCGUUGUACACUUCAGCUAUUGUACAAGCAGCUAUGUAAUCUACUAGGAAUAAACAACAACCUGAACCUGAACGACCUGGAAAUAUUUUGUUUUAUAAAUGUUCCGUUUUUUAGUAAAGUUAAAGCUCCUGUGUGGAACUUUCAGACAGAUGCCCCCUGUGGCCACUUUUGUCCUCUACCUCCUUAAAUUGCAUCUUGACAAAAAAAAAAAAAGAUCCAAAUUACUGGCUUCUAAAAGUCAAAUGUGAAUGUUUUAUGUGGGAUUUAUAAAUAAAUAAAUAAUAAAAAAAAAAAGGGGUUGCUCAACACCUGCCCCCUUACACCGCUUUCAGGUAUUAAAAAUUGUGACUUAAAUUUCGUCAGUCUUGUCACUGAUGGUGUUGUUUGCUUUCAUUUAUCAUAAAAAGGCAUUAUUUAGAAUUUUAGUCAAUUUCUCAAAUGUCAAAAACAAAAAAAAAACAAACAAACAAAAAAAAAAAAACAGGGCUCGGUCAACACCUGCCCCCUUUACACUAGUUUCAGGCAUUGAAAAUUAUGCCCCCUGUGGCCAAUCUUGUCCUCUGCAUCGUUAAAAUGGCAUCUUGACAAAAAAUAAAUAAAUUAACUGGCUUUUAAAAGUGAAAUGUGAAUGUUUUAUGUGGGAUUUAAAAAACAAAACAAAAACAAAAAAAUACAAUAAUAAUAAUAUUAAUAAUGAUAAUAAUAAUAAUAAUAAUAAUAAUAAUAAUAAUAAUAAUAAUAAAAAGGGCUUGGUCGACACCUGCCCCCCUUACACUGCUUUCAGGCAUUAAAAAUUCUGACUUAAAUUUCGUCGGUCUUGUCACUGUUGGUGUUACAGCUGUAGCUGUAAACCAAAAUAAAGGAAGUGUUCUUCAAUUGAGCUGUUUUCUGCUACAGUUAAAGCCCCAGUGCUGUUCUCAUUUCAAAAGGUCCUGAACCACUGGUUUAGACACGACCCAUCCCCCAGCUCUCCAAGCUUCCAGUGUGAGGCUUACUAACUAAUGGCCACAAGUUAACAUCUGUCCAUCAGGGAGAGUUUCCAGAGGAGUUAAAAACAGUCCUGGAUCUAUUACAGAUGAACUGCAGUGCCGACUGUAAUUAUAUCACAGUUCCAUUUGGCGUGUCUCUAAGCACGUCUUAUUAUUCUUGGUAUUAAAUAUUACAGUAUUUCUAUCAGAAGUUUGGACUGUGAUAAAGUUCCUGAGCCUUAAACACAAAGUUCACUUUCAAAAGUCUGCCCCUUAUCAAGACCAGCGUCUUUCUGCUGCAGCCGCCCUCCCGCUGUGAAGUUAAAAGCAUUCACAUUUCACCGCCACGCUGGUGUGACAGAUGCUUUUAUCAACCUAAAUGCUCUUUUCGGUGUCUUAACAUAUAAUUUGAGAAUAAACCGCCACUCUCGUCUGUCAUUCAUGGCGGACGCUUGUAACAACAUAGUCCCACAACUCGGCCCCUUUAAUUAGACCGGAGCCGGCGAAGAAGUCUGUGUGGGAGACGUUUUACAUGGAGGUUAUAUUUUUUUCUUUUUCAGCACAGCAAGACAUUAAGUUUUUUUUGAAUCACCCGAGUUGACCUGCCGCCUGCCAAAUUGAAUUUUUAAGUUCAAAAGCACAGGGGAAUUUGUACUCAUGGUGACUAAAGUUAAAAAAUGUAUCUUUUGUGCUUCACUCUUUUGGUGCUUCUGUGAUACAAAGGUUAGAGUUCUUGAGAUAAAAGUAGUAAAAAUCAAAGCUUUUAAUGCAUGUCUCAUUUGCUUUAAAAGUGUGACUUGACUUUGUUGCUUUUGCAGCUUGUUUAACAAGUAAAAAGUCAUAUGCGCUAUGUUUCAAACAUAAAUAAAUACUGACGUUCUUUGAGAUUAAGGGAUUUUAGACAUGCGAUUAAAAUUGCGAUUAAUCGCGAUUAAAUGUCGAAAUUAUGCGAUUAAUUGUGAUAAAAAAUGUCAAAUAUAAACAUCCUCAUCCUUUAAUGCAUGUCUCAUUUGCUAUAAAAUUGUGACUUGGCUCGGUUGCUUUGGCAGCUUGUUUAACAAGUUAGCACAAUGUGUCAAAUAUAAAUAAGAUUAACCAUGGUGGUUAAUCGCGAUUAACCAUCAAAAUUAUGCGAUUAAUUGUGAUAAAAAAUGUAAAAUAUGAACAUCCUCAAAUGAUUAUUUAGAUAUCUAGUUUAAACAUUUUUAUAUACAUUUACAAAAGCCAAAGAUUAAAGUAGUUUUCUCUAUCUAAUGCAGAGACAGGAAGCUGCUUUGACACUCUGCGGGAGCCGCUCACAGCACUCAUACAAACAGCCUCAUACAGAGAUGUGUUUGUCAGCGGCAGACCGUGAAAAGUUCAGCUGUUGUUGAUGUUUUUCUCCUGACAAACUUGUUGAUCGCUCGGUGUUUUCCAGGUACCUUCACCCUGAUUGAAGCUGCUUUCACUCCGGGGACAUGAUGUGAUGCAUGUGAACAUUUUGAGCCCAUUUAGGAACUUCAGCGUCAUUUACCAAUACAUAACCUAAUGUAGAUUAUUCUGAGCCAACGGAGCAGAUAAGUGAUCCGCCGGACUACAGGUUUCUGCGAGGUUAGAUUCAUCACACGACCAAACUGCAACACAGCAAUGUGCUUAGUCAGUAUUAAGGGUAGACGAUAGAUUGUGUUUGUGUAUUGGCAUGAUCUCCCUCUCCAUCAUCAUCUUUACUUUGCUUGUAAACACACACACACACAUACACAACUACACACAAACACCCCCUCAGUAACACUCCAUCCUGGCAGUCAUUAGAGUCCCAUGAGCUCUUUUGCUUGUAGCACCUCAGUCCCGUAGAUCUCUGCUGCCAAUAAUCGUUAUAAUUGAUGAUUUCCUUCUAAGCCUCUAAUGAUGUUUCUAGUAUUUAUGGUUACACAAAGCCAGGCGAGCUGAUUCAUAAUAGUUUCUUCCUGCCGCUUUAUUGGCAUGGCGUUUCUCACAUUCUCAUCACUAAAUUAAUUUUGACCUGGCGAUGCCGUAGAUCACUUUAAACCGCUGCGCGCCGUCUCACUGUGACCAGGUUUUCUUAAGCUGUUGUCGUAAAGAAUGGUUUAUCGACCCUUCCUGCUGACGCUUUAAUAAGUGCUUUGCAUAACAAGUGUUUUACUGCAAGAUAAAUCACAUGGGCUGGCGGCGGGCUGUCAAAUACACAAGUGCACACAUGUGUAGACAUAAAGCAAGGCAGUGCUCAAAAGUGGGCACCGGUAUUUACUGAUUAAACUCUGUUAAAUCUAUAAAAAAGGCAGUGAGAUUUAAAGCUCCUGUAAGGGAUUUUAGUUGAAACAGAGAAACGUGGAUAAAAGUUGUCCUCAUUUAAAUUCAUAGCCAGCAGGACCGAGGGAGGCAUUUUCGCCAUCAUAUUGCAUAAGUCAGGUGCAAAUAUGACUGGACCCCAAAAAAUUCUAACAAAGGUUUCUCACCUGUUUUUCAUUGUAUUAGAUGUCCUUAAUAACAUACUAAAAGUUCACCAAAGUUCGACUGCUAGAAAGGUGUCACUUUCACGAUUGCGUCCAUGAACUUAUUCCACGUCACUGUGGAGUCCGUCUGAGUAUGUUAUUGAGGACAUCUUAUACAAUAAAAAAAAACAGUUGAGAAACCUUUUAUUAGAACUUUUUUGGGGUUAGAUGUUUUUUUUUUCAUAAAUGCACCCGCCUACAUCACCUCUUCUUCAAACGGUGCUCUAUAAAUGUCCGGGAACCAACUAGACCAGUUUCUGGAGUUUCAAAAGUGAAAUGUUGUCCCACUCUUACCUGAAGUAGGAUUUCAGUCGCCCAAUAGUCAUUGUUGUUGUAUGUUUUUGUGCACUUAUACAUCCCAUCAUCCAUCACGGAGGCCGGGUUUUGGACUGUGCGGGCCCUGUACCGAUUUCAAAGGGAGGACGCUCACAGAUGAUGGUUUUUGGGAGUGAUUGUAAGGCCAUGCGGCACUUUCCACUACAGAGUCACGUCUUUUUCAAUGCAGUGUUGCCUGGAGGCUGAAGAUCUGAGGGAAAAAUGUCUGAUUGAUUGUUAUGGACGGAGCUAGGGGACCUUAAUUAAGGCAGGAGCACCAGUGACCCAAACAACAAGAAUAACAACAGGGCAAAAAAAGAGCAACAGGCCUUAUUUAUUAGUUGAAAAAAUGAGAUGACUGAAGAUGAGCUCUCGCCGAGGUGCAUAUUGAUCCGUCGAGAAGAAUGUUAGGCAUAUAUAAUAAAAACACAUCAACUUUCAUCCCUUUAAAUGAUGACCUGCCUGUUGUGAGCAUGCUAGCCAACAGCAGCAGAUCUGUUAGGAACAGGAGGAAUUCAAUCAGGGAGAUCCAUGGACCCGAGCGGAGGCCCCUGAGUGAGAUCGAUGGCCUGAGAGGCAGGUUGCGAAGGGGUCAGCUCCCCUGGUGCGGCGUUUUAUCUCCGUCCUGUUGCCACUCCUGUUUAGGAACGUUGUUGCCGGGGAGGGUGGGGGGGGACUGGAAGCAGUGUUGCAUCCUGGUCCCAGAGGCAGCCCAGGCCUACCACAAUAAUAUCAUUUUAUGUCAGCCAUGAGUGAAAGUUUCCCCAACUUGGGGCGGGCUGAUUGAUGGCUGUUGUAAAUCAGGGCUGAGAGUGCUGCAUGGGGUUUUAUAGUGCGGGGAAAUGAUGCAGGUUGUAUACAACUCUCCUUAACACCUCCACGCUUUAAACCCAGUGACUGUCCAAGAAAUGUGCGCUUUUUAGAGUACUACACCCACCCGAACUGCAGGAAAGAAUUUGCAAUGGUAAACAUUCAAACACUACAAAAUAUCCCUUUGUACAAUAUUAACAUAAUUCGAGUCAUUAUGUCCCAGACUGAAUUACCAACAUGGCAAAUCACACUGCUGCUCUAGGGACCAGAAAGCUCCGGGCACUCUUCAUGUGAAUUAGUUUCUGUAAUAUGAUUGAUUGCUUAUUUGUUAGAGAGUUUGCAGCACUGGAGUACAACUAAUAGAGGCUUGGCACCGGGAGAUCAUUUCGCAGCAGUCUUGUCCAGAGGCCCUGUGUCAGAAUCCAGUUUAAAGGAGCUCCUCUGUUGUAAUUUUUUGUUCAUUUUUUUCGUGUUAGAGGUUUUGUUUUAUCACGCUACCAAAGUAAAGUACAAAUGAACCAGGAGUAAUGAUUGCUCCAGGAAAAAUGGACGUAAUGAAGUAACUAGGAGCUUACGGUUUGCACAGAGGUUGGUAAAUUGGGGUCAGUUUUGGGGGUAAACCUGUACUUUUUUCACUGGGGUAGUCCAAUUACCAUUAAAAUACUUAAUUUAUGCUUCGUGUCUAUAAUUGCUUUUACAGGAAAACAGAGUGGUAGCAUAUGAACCUUAAAAAGUAUCAAAAAUUUGCUCAAUUAGUCAGUUUAAUUGGACCAAUAUCCUCGAGCCCCAGAUGACCUGGUCACACGCCUCCUUUACAGCUUGUUACUGGCCUUUAACCAAAGCAAUCAGGUGUUAAUCUGACUUUGACAUCUUUGACCUAAUGGGAUUUCAUGUAGACUGGCAUGUUGUGUAUAUUCAAGUCUAGUUUCCAUUGGACUGGCACAAUAUAUCCAUAUUUUUUGACAGUUUGUCUCCGUUUGGUAGUUUGCUUGUGUUUUUUGAUGGACUAAUUCAUAACAAGUCUCAGAAACUUCAGAGAACAAAAGUCUUUUAAAUAAAUGAGCAAAAUAGCCAGGAACAAUGUAAGAUUUUUGGGGUGGCCAAUUAGAAGGAGGGCAAUGCCACCCCUGGCCUUCACUCUGGACACACCCCUGGUCAGUUUGGGCCUGAUAGUUUAUUUUACUCUGAGAAAUCUGCCCCUGGAAAAGUUAUCAUCACAGAGCAGUUACCUGAAAAUAUCUCUACGCCCUUUAUUCGGUAUAUGUGCAGAAAGAUGGAGGAAAUCAAUCAUUUUGGUCGAGCAGUGUGUCUAAUGUACAUGAUGAAGACUCAGCGAAUCUGCUCUCUAGCCAAGAAAUGAGGGGAUCUCCAGAGUCUGAAUUGAUUUUUGAAGUUGGCGCCGAAUGAGUAUAUUCCAACAGAAUGAAUUUAUUGCCAUCUUGAACCAAGACAUCUGGUCUCACCAAUUUAUAACCUUGGACCCAGAUUGAGUUCAGGCAAGACUGAACAAAUAUUAGUGCCAAAAUAGAGAGGGAUGCCAAGGCCUGGAUGGUGGAUCAGCACUUUGGACUUGCGUACAGCGCCUUAAAUUAAUUUUUCAACAAACUCCCAGCGUAAACUUUCACACUCCAAAUCCUUCUUUCCCCAAAGUGUUUCUGUUGCGAUCUAAUUCAGAUAUUAAACAACUUUCUGUAUUCUUGUUUUCCAUGCUUUUGAGUUGUUUCCUGCAGCGUCGUGACCACAGACAAGAACACUUAAGACGGUAAAUUCUGCAUCAAAGCAGUCUAUCUCAGCUCUUUAUUAUCCCUCCUCCUGCUUUCCAUUUCUAUUUAUCAUAUGUAUUUCCUCUGUGCACCAUAGGCUUUUUCAUCUGACCUUGUGUUGAGCCACAAAGAGCUUUCGGCUUCUUGCGCUGACAUUAAAAAAAGAGCCUGAAAUUUUUGUCCAAGUUUUGACGAACUGACUGACGUAAGAAGAAGACACAUUCAGGUCUGAGUGUCCUCCAAAAACUAGGGCAUAUAAUCUGAAAACAGGAACAUCGCCUUGAGAAGAAGAAGAAGCGCGACUUUCAUGGAUCAAUUCCCUGAAGUGAGAUCGACAGCAGGAUCAUGAUUCACAGUGCCGGUCUUGCUUUUCAACAACACAACACCAUACAUGUACCAUCAUGUACCCCUGUAACAACACAAUACCUUUCAGAGCGUAUUUGCACUCGAGUUAAAGGUUUGGAGGAAAUAUUGCUUGUUAGAGUUCAUCCUGAAAGCAAAAGCGGAGCAGCACUGCGUCAUACAUACAGGGUAAAUGGAAAACUGAGCUCAAUAUAUGCUUGACGGGGUCACACAAGAGAGUACUUAUGAGAAAUGUGCGUCUGGUUUUCGAGUAGAGCUGCAGCAGCCAUCUAUUAUGGAGUUUCUAUAGAUAUUAUUGAAGGUUGAGUCAUGGAUGUAAACGGUACAAUGAGAGAACAUAUGGAAACUUUUCAUCAUACGUUUGACCAUCGGAUAGGAACUAAAGCUUGAACUUCGCCAAAAGUUCAGAAAAAAUGACCUUACAAAGAGCAACAUUAGUCACAGCAAGAGCCCUAGCAAGAGUGAGGUACUGAGUUUGUUCAAUUUGGAAUUUAGUUAUUAUUAAAAGUCAUUUUCGAUAUUCUAUUGUGUCUGUAAGCAACUUGAACGUAAACAGCAGUUAUUUCCCUUAACAACUUGGAAAAGUCGACGAAGCUGACAGAACACUUUUUCAUUUGUAAUUUAUGUAAGAUGUGGUGAUUUUUGACAAUUUUUACUUUUUUAUCGCCUAAAACGUGGGCGCCAUUAAUCUUAAUGGUCCUAACCCUGACUAAUCUACCAGUAUAUAAUGUAUAAAAGGGUUUUUUUGUAAUUGUAAUGCUGUAGUUUACCCAGAAGAUGGCGCCAAACUAGCCAAAGCUUCAUCACACACGUCCACCAUCAUGACUGCGACGAUCACCCCACAAACUUUGUAAAGCGCUGUUAAAACUGAUAAUGAGUUGAGCUCAAGUUUAUGCUAACUUCUGGGCAGCUGGCAGGAUUGGCAGCUUAAAGGUGGGGUAGGCAGGAUCUGAGGAAGUUCCAGUUUUUGGGAGAAAUCUUGAACAUAAACACUACCCCUUCAACAGACGACCAGCAAACACAAUGUUUGCAGGACUUCUACAACGAGGAUAAAGUGACAUAGUCCAGGACCCGAGGGAGACAGUUACGCGGCGCUACAACACGCAGCAGGUCCAGUUUGACAAGAAACACUUCUGUUACAGACACUUGUCUUACUUUGUUAAAGCGGUUUACCUGUCCAGCAGAAAGGUUACAGGGUCCGUAAGAUCCCAAAGCAUCUCCCAUCAUUGUUGACCCGGCUUUUUUAGCUCUUGUCCAGGUGGCCUCCCUCCUUUUUAAGCGCCCGUUAUUCCGCCAGAGUC